ACACACACACACAUUGGAAACUUGAAAGAGACAUUCUUUUUGAAAUGGACUACAAAGGAAAGUAAUACAAACAAAUUGAAACGGAAGGAAUAUUUCUACGUCCUUGUAGUUCUUAUUAUUGAUCUAAGGGCUUAACUUUUUUUCAGAAAGACUUGUUGGAAAUGUGAUUUGUAAGCGGAAAAAAUACUUGGGAGUAAUGUGCAUUUAUGGUUUUUGUAAGAAGGUAAACAAACCCAGAUGACAUAUAGUGAAUUGUAUAAUAUAGGAGUAAGGGCCCUUACUUUGGCUUGCUCGACCCAUCGAAUUCGAAGACUGAGGAACAUGGAAGAGAGCCUAAGCAAUGUUGUUAGGCUUGUUCCUUUGAUGUAAACGAUGUCUUCCUUAGGUAGAGUUUGAGAGCCGUAGUUAGGAAGAAGUUAGUGGGAUCUUUUAUUUACGUUUUCUUUUUCUUUUGUUUUUGACAAUAUUAGUGACUAUACUUGUAUAAGGAAAAAAAAUGCAAAACAACUAACAGAAAAGAGUCUACACGAUUCAAAAUCAAUUCUGUUAGUAUAGAACCAUUUGAUGGAGCACCUAUAGUGUAUACGAGAAAUUGGUACUCAAUGAUGCAUAUCUUUUAUUUUAAAUUUCAUCUUACUUAAAAAAUGAGGGUUAACAUGUAUCCAGGAUCAGUUGUAACAGUGCAACCCAUGAUAUGUGGCUUAGGCGCACAUCACUAGUUCAUGCCCUCCUGACGACCAAAAGUCUUGUAUUUAAGUAGAUAAGGGUAGAUUGCCAGGCCCAUUAGCAUCGAGUUUCGGAUCGUGUGCUGGCUGACUCUCAGGAAUUUCUUGGUUAUCAAAGGAAAAAAAGAUUUGGGCUGGAGUAUGUUUUCCUGUUUCGCAAGUGUAGUAUUUUCAAGGCUCUUGUUGUCUUAAGUUGGAGAUUUGCUCCUACUGGCAGUGAGUGACUAGAUUUUGCAGCUCAGAAUAUCUUGAGACUAUUUUGAGGUAAUGAGAGGGAGCUCGGACUAUUGCGAACUCUGAGUUUCAGUGAAAGAGUGUGGUAGAAAGCUUUGGUGAAAGUUUGUACUAAAUCACAGAUCUUGGCGUUUCCAGAUAGUAUACGUAGCUGGAACUAGAAAGUAGGAGCAUAAGCUCUAAAAAAAAAUUAGUAGGAGAGAGUUGUCAGUUUGCAAAUUCUAUUUUGGAUGGAUUAAAAAGAGAAAAUCUUUGACGUGAUUGAACAAGUUAUUCCCCGUCAAAGCUUGGUCAAAAUGCAUUGAAUGAAGGGGUUUCUCAGAGUUCAUCAGAACAAUGUGAUUGAUAAGAAACAAAGACUUGGGAUUAAUGUGCAGUUAUGGUUUUUCUAUGAGGGUAAAGAAAUCCAGAUGCCAGAUAAUGAAUUGUAAAAUAUAGGAGUAUGACGUUGGAUAGUCUGGAAAAAGUUAAGUGGCAUCUUUUGUAGUGGGCAAAUAGAAUAUCAGGAGGACUAGCAGAUAUAUUCUUAUAAUGGUUUUCCUACUUAUUUUCAUCCAUUAAGCUCUGCUUUAAAUUUCAGCAAGACCAGUUGGAAAUUGCAGGUUUUGAUUCUCUGAACAAGUAAGGCUUGGGAUUCACGUGUAUAUCUGCUUUGUGAUUGUUGAAAGAGAACUUGGAGUUCCCUGAUAGUAGACUGAAGAAAUGAGACCUUAACAGCACUACUUGUAUACAAAAAAAGAGAACCUAAGCAGGCUUUAUAAGUAAGGUAAUUUUAUUAAGGAAGGACAGUGCUAAGAUAGUACAGUGCAGAUAUAAAAAGCAGAAAAGCUGUAGAGGAUGAAUUUGAAGAAGGAAGGUACUCCUUCUUUUCAUUAUAUCUUAUGGUAUUUGACUAGACACGAGUGAUAUAAGUCCAAUCAACUCCUUAAAUCAUGCCUUGUCAAAUACCACAAAGAUUAGUGAUAAA